AAAAAUACCUGGCCGGGGAGACACCAUGACCACAAAGGUGGUCUUCCCGGGGCGAGACUUCUCCAUUGCCCUCCGGAUGUGCUGACCCCGUGAUUUCCCCAAAUGUGGGGAACUCGACUGCACAGUCUGUGGUAAUGGGGGACCGCGUUCACGCUCCCCCCGG